AUACGUAGGGGGCAAGCGUUAUCCGGAAUUACUGGGUGUAAAGGGAGCGCAGACGGCUAAGCAAGUCUGAUGUGAAAGUCAUGGGCUCAACCCAUGGAUUGCAUUGGAAACUGCGAAGCUGGAGUGUCGGAGGGGUAAGCGGAAUUCCUGGUGUAGCGGUGAAAUGCGUAGAUAUCAGGAGGAACACCGGUGGCGAAGGCGGCUUACUGGACGAUCACUGACGUUGAGGCUCGAAAGCGUGGGGAGCAAACAGGAUUAGAUACCCUGGUAGUCCACGCUGUAAACGAUGAAUGCUAGGUGUAGGAGGUAUCGACCCCUUCUGUGCCGCAGUAAACACAGUAAGCAUUCCGCCUGGGGAGUACGGUCGCAAGAUUAAAACUCAAAGGAAUUGACGGGG
rnacentral:rRNA from 1 species